rnacentral:rRNA from 1 species
CUACGGGUGGCAGCAGUGGGGAAUAUUGCACAAUGGAGGAAACUCUGAUGCAGCAACGCCGCGUGGAGGAUGACACUUUUCGGAGCGUAAACUCCUUUUAUAUAGGAAGAAGAUGACGGUACUAUAUGAAUAAGCGCCGGCUAACUCCGUGCCAGCAGCCGCGGUAAUACGGAGGGCGCAAGCGUUACUCGGAAUCACUGGGCGUAAAGAGCGUGUAGGCGGAUUAAAAAGUCAGAAGUGAAAUCCUAUAGCUUAACUAUAGAACUGCUUCUGAAACUCUUAAACUAGAAUAUGGGAGAGGUAGAUGGAAUUUCUGGUGUAGGGGUAAAAUCCGUAGAGAUCAGAAGGAAUACCGAUUGCGAAGGCGACCUACUAGAACAUUAUUGACGCUGAGCCGCGAAAGCGUGGGGAGCAAACAGGAUUAGAUACCCCCGUAGUC